rnacentral:tRNA from 1 species
GCCCACGUAGCUCAGGGUGGCAGAGCACAUUCUGGUAAGAAUGAGGUCAUGGGUCUGAUUCCCAUCGUGGGCU